AGGGAGGAAGCGUAGAAGGUGCCGAUGCACUUUUCCUCUCUCCAGCCCUCCUGACUGCUCCAAGAAUUUCAUCGAACAAGACUCAAAGAGGCCCAGCUGCUCUGCGUUUUGAUUCUUCUCCCUCUCUCAGUCCACACUGACCUGGGAGGGGCUUCUCAAACACCACAUUUCCUAGCGUGCUGUGAGAAGAGGACUGUGAGCUAAGAAGGGAGAAAAGGGUGCAUAGUAUGAGAAGACUUAAGAGAUGGGUAGAGAAAAACUAAAAAGCAUCCAGAGAGCCAAAUAAAAAUACAGACAAACCAACCAACCAAGCACUGACGAGCCAGUAAAGAGGGAACUGUCGGGGAAUCAGGGCUGAGAGAAUCUCUGAUACAGCAGCGGAAAUAGUGAGAAUCCAGCCUUCCUCCCCUCCAGAGGAUGUAGCAUGCAGGGUGCCAUCUUGGAAAAAGAGAAUGGCUUCAGCAGACACCGAACUUGCUGGAGCCUUAACCUUAGACUUCUCAGCCUCCAGAAAUAUGAGUCAAUAAAUUUCUGUUCAUUAUGAA
ensembl:lncRNA novel transcript